rnacentral:rRNA from 1 species
UUCGUUUAACAUUAUAAAAAUUUAUUCAAUUAAAUAAAAAUAAAUCUUUUUUAUUUCUUUUAGAUGUGAAUAUUAUAAAAUAAUAAAAAUUAGAUAUAGUUGAAUAAAAAUUAAAGGUAAAUUAGGGUGCCAGCAACUGCGGUUAUACCCAUUUUAAUUCAUUUAAAUUAGGUAAAAAUAAAGAAAAUAAUUAAUAAUUAUUUAAUUUUGUAUUAAUAUUUAUUUAUAAUUAUUUAUAAAAAUUAAUUUAAAAAGAUUAUAUAAACUUAGUUUUUUUCUAAUUAUAAAUUUUAAAAAAAUUUUAUUCCAUAAAAAAAUAAAAAGAUUUGGCAGUCUGCCUUACUUUCGGGGGAGUGUGUGAAGAGAAGAGAUAGUCCGCUUAAAAUUCAAUUAAAGUUAUAAAGUUAGUGUACGGUUGUUUAAUAGAUUUCUUUAAAAGAAAAUUAUCUUAAAUACAAAUCAUUGUGCUGCUUAUGCUUUAGAUUCUUUAUUCACUACAUUAAAGUAAUAUAAAAUGAAAUUUUUAUAUUAAUUAGGACUAGAAAGUAAAUAAAAUUUAAGUUAGAAUUAUUGAAGUAAAAAAAUGUUUGUGUACACACCGCCCGUCAAUCUUUUUAGAAAGAUAAGUCGUAACAUGGUAAGUAUAACUGAAGUUGUACUUA